GAUAAGGUUAAGUGAAUAAGGGCGCACGGUGGAUGCCUUGGCACUAGGAGCCGAUGAAGGACGGGACUAACACCGAUAUGCUUUGGGGAGCUGUACGUAAGCUAUGAUCCAGAGAUUUCCGAAUGGGGGAACCCAACAUCUUUAAUAGGAUGUUACGAUUGUGUGAAUACAUAGCACAUUCGAGGUAGACGCAGAGAACUGAAACAUCUAAGUACCUGCAGGAAGAGAAAGAAAAUUCGAUUCCCUGAGUAGCGGCGAGCGAAACGGGAAAAGCCCAAACCAGCAAGCUUGCUUGUUGGGGUUGUAGGACUCCAAUAUGGUAGUUCUUUCAGAUAGUCGAAUGACUUGGAAAAGUCAGUCAAAGAGGGUAAAAACCCCGUAGACGAAAUGUGGAAGACACCUAGGAGGAUCCUGAGUACGGCGGAACACGAGAAAUUCCGUCGGAAUCCGGGAGGACCAUCUCCCAAGGCUAAAUACUCCCUAGUGACCGAUAGUGAACCAGUACCGUGAGGGAAAGGUGAAAAGCACCCCGGAAGGGGAGUGAAAUAGAACCUGAAACCGUGUGCCUACAACAAGUCAAAGCCCGUUAAUGGGUGAUGGCGUGCCUUUUGUAGAAUGAACCGGCGAGUUACGAUUGCAUGCGAGGUUAAGUUGAAGAGACGGAGCCGCAGCGAAAGCGAGUCUGAAUAGGGCGUUUGAGUAUGUAGUCGUAGACCCGAAACCAUGUGAUCUACCCAUGUCCAGGUUGAAGGUGCGGUAAAACGCACUGGAGGACCGAACCCACGUACGUUGAAAAGUGCGGGGAUGAGGUGUGGGUAGCGGAGAAAUUCCAAACGAACUUGGAGAUAGCUGGUUCUCUCCGAAAUAGCUUUAGGGCUAGCCUCGGAAUUGAGAAUGAUGGAGGUAGAGCACUGUUUGGACUAGGGGCCCAUCUCGGGU
rnacentral:rRNA from 1 species